AUUGAACGCUGGCGGCAUGCUUUACACAUGCAAGUCGAACGGCAGCGCGGGCUUCGGCCUGGAGGCGUGUGGCGAACUGGUGAGUAAUACAUCGGAACGUGCCCAGUAGUGGGGGCUAGCUCGGCGAAAGCCGGCUUCAUACCGCAUACGACCUGAGGGUGAAAGCGGUGGAUCUUCGGACCUCGCGCUACUGCGGCGAUCGAUGGCAGAUUAGCGAGUCGGUGGGCUAAAGGCCUACCAAGGCGACGAUCUGUAGCUGGUCUGAGAGGACGACCAGCCACACGGGGAGUGAGAGACGGCCCAGACUCCUACGGAAGGCAGCAGUGGGGAAUUUUGGACAAUGGGAGAAAGACUGAGCCAGCAAUGCCGCGUGUGAGAUGAAGGCCUUCGGGUUGUAAAGCACGGCUGGCGGGAACGAAAAGGACUGUGCCAAUACCACGGUACGAUGUCGGUACCCGCAGAGUAAGCACCGGCUAACUACGUG
rnacentral:rRNA from 1 species